rnacentral:lncRNA from 1 species
UACCAUUUGGAAAGAACUGUAUCAGAUUCUAUACUAUAAUUGAGUAUAGUCUCAGACCUAUAGCACCUACCCACAUUCUAAGUAACUUACUUGGCGUACUAGAUUUGGUUGGCUAGUUACUUUUCUACUACUGCGAAGGCAUCCUGACCAAGGCAACUUAAAAAAGAAGGCAUUUAAUUAUUGGAACUGGGGAUCUGCUUACAGUUUUAGAGCAUAAGUCCAUGAACAUCUCCUAAUCCCACCUGGAGAGAAUAAGAACACUACCAUGAUUUUUGGGCCAAAUUUGAAGCAAGCUGUAUUACAUACUAGCCAGGAAGGUGGACACUGGCCAGGUCCAUACCCCGGAUUGCUAGAGAAUGGUAGCAAAUUACGUUAGGCAGGCGCUUUUAAAGGCAAAACCUACAAGGCUUCGCACACACCCUGACCUUCUUCCUGCCCAGGUACCUUCCACCUAAAUGUGUACAUCCUGUGGAGUCGGGGAAACCAACCUUGUUAUAGAAGUCAAAACACAUAGUUUGUUACCUCAUAUGAGCAGCUCCCAGCAUUCCAGGAAGUUAUCUGUCCUUGGGCAAGUGGGCUUACAGGUUAGAGGCCUUUUUGUUUUAUAUAGCUCACUUAUGCAUAGUAAUUAAAACUUAAAACAUAACUUUAACCCUCAUACAUCAUGUCUGGGAGCAUACAAUAGGCAGGCAGGCAUGACUUUGUGCAGUAGCUGGGACCUUAGAUCUGAUCCACAGCAGGAGGCAUUCUAAUGUAUGAGCCUUUGGGGGACAUUGUCUUUUAAGCCACCACAGUUUCUAAAUUUGCCUAAGAAGUUAGACCAAGGAGGCUGCACGCUAAUUACAAUCUCAUGCAUGUGUACACUCACCUUUCUAAAACACCCAAAGUCUCUUGACUUGGGUUUUGUAAAAUAAAUCACUUGUUUUCUUACUCCAGAGGCAAGAAACAGAAUACAAAUCACCAUCAAAGUAGAACCAACAGUUCAGUGUUGGCUGCUGAGGGCUUGGGAAGCCGCAGGUCUGGGCUCUGCCCUUCACAGGCUCAGACUGGCUGUGCACAGCAGCUGCUGCCACCUUCGGUAGUCAUCCCAUGGCACUGCACUUACAGUUACAGUCUCUACUGCAGUGGGGCUGCGCUGUCACCAAUAGCUUCUGCUGGCUCUCCUUGGGAACCCUAAUCCUGCUACACAGUGCCAACCCUCGAUUUUUCUCUAUGCAACAUCACCAAAGCCUCUCUUGGUUCCAAGCCUCAGCUGUUCUCUUUGACUUCAAACCCUGGACCACCUAGGAGACUCCUACACCUUUCAAGUUGAAUGCAAAGUAUUGCCCCUUUCUGUUCUGCGGCUUCUGUGUGCCGACCCUGAGGAAACACUUCCCAGAAGAUUAUGUAUGCCUCAGUGAUCUCUCCCUCCUUUCCCCUCCCCCUCCCUCCCUCCUCUUCCCUUUCUUUUUUUUUUGAGACAGGGUUUCUCUGUGUAGCCCUCGUUAUCCAGGCUGGUUUCAAACUUGUAGAGAUGGCUUGCCUCUGCCUCCUGAGUGCCCUGCUUGAUUCUGGCCUUUUCUUACUCACAGCUGCUUGAUUAUUCAGCCCCAGCUGACAAGAACCAUAGCUACUCCAUUCGAAAUAUCAAGUGGUCUCGAUAAAAUGUUUUAAGGGAUUCUAAACUUUACCAUUGAAACUUCAAAAGCUAGGCCUCCAUGUCAGCACCAGUCUGCACAAUAGCUUCUAAAGCUCUGAGCACUAGAUUGCAUUUCUAGACCAAAUUUUCAGUACCCUUUUUAAUUCUCCCCCAAACUAGCAAUAUCUCAUGAACCUGGUACCAUAAUUGAGUUUAUAGAAACAUUUCCAUUUAUGUGAAAAUGUGCUUUUAAAAAAAUCUUUCUUGUGGAAGCAAAAGUGAAUUAGAAAUUGUAAGUAAAAUCUAACUUUUAUUUACACUUGAUUUUUUUCAUGAUGUCCCUUUAUAAAGUGAUUUUGUAAAUGAAAAUAAUUUUGAAAUGCUGUACAGGGAGAAAGGGAAGGGAGCUGAUUACAUAUUAGGGUGGAUACAGAAGUAAGCAUUGUGACGGAUCGCUAGGCAACAGGCUGUGGGGAUGUAGCAUUUCUCAUUUGUGUCGUCAUGUAACCACGGUGGAGCCUGAGCUGGGUUUCUUGUUAAUCAAGUCCAUCUGUUGGUCCAGGAACACACUUUCCUCAGGGUACUGGGUUGCGUUUCCCUCGUUCCUACAGUGUCUUAAACUGCUACUGACAUACUCCCUGAAGUGGACUGCUGGACACAGCCCUGAAACCUUCAGAACAAAGAACGUGACAUGACAGCAUUAAGGUUUCAAGUUUUUUUUUUUUUUUUUUAAUAAAUAGAACUCUUGUUUUUAAUUUGAUGAGCAGGAACUUUCCAACUCUAACCCUCUCUUUACAAUCUGUUUUUAAUUUGC